CAAUUAUGAUCACACUAAACUAGCCCAGCACAUUCUAACUUUUACCAAAUUUAAUUUAACUAAUCAAAAUCACUUUAACGCUGUAACUGUCCACAAAAUAACUUAGAGAGCAGUUUAAGACAAAUCUUUAAAAAAAAUAGUCUUGUGAAGAUU